CUCCAGUAGGGCCCAAGCCAGCCAGGAAGGAGGAGGCAGCCAGAGUGUUCUCUGCAGCAGAAGACCCCUUGCUGCCCUGCUUAACCCAGACCAGCAUUUGCCAGCUGGCAUCAGAAAUCCAUGCAUGACUGGAGGUUAUUUGCAGUGGAAUGAAGUCACCUUAAUUUCAAGCACCUUUCUGUAGAAUUGGAUGAUGCUUCCCCACAAGAGAGAGUCACACCAACCUCAUCCUGCCAGUGCUUGUCAAGUACCCUGGUCACUCAAAUAAAUUCUAUACCUUGCUGCUGCUCUUGGAUGAAGACCCCCGCCAUCACAUACAACACUGCAAAGUUCUGCACCGAGGCCUGUAGAAGCCGCAGGUCCAUGACAACUUCCAUCCUGAGGGACCAUGGGCUGAGCCUACAAAUUCCAGUCUUAGCCUCAACUCUCACAUAAGCUAUUGCAACCUCCUUUUAAUUGUAUACUUUUAAUUUUUCUUAUGUACCUUUAAACACUCUUAAUUAUUUUUAAUUAUUUUUAAGUACUCUUACACAUAGAGCCCUUUUGGCCCACUGUUUACUCGGGUGCAGACUUCUCUCUUGUCGGCAGUCUGAGUUUUUUUAAAAAAUUAUUUUUAAAAUUUUCUUCCCCCUUAUUACUACCCUACACUUUUAUAGCUUCAUAACUGUAGUUUUAUAUUUUAUAUUGUAUCUCCCACCCCCUGCCUGUACCUCAUGUAUUUUAUUGCUCUUGUGCUGGACUAAGACUGAAAUAAAGGUGAUUGAUCAAUCGA